UUCAAGUGUUCAUCAACUGAUAAAUGGAUAAAGAAGAGAUGGAGAUCACCUACUGCUCUCUUGGAAUCAGAUAAAAGCAGAUGGCUCUGAAUCACCAAGAAAGAAAACUAUUAUGGAGAACACAAAAUGAAUUUUGCAUGAGCAUAGAAUAAAUAUUCAUCUCUAAGCCACUGA